GAUUCUCUUAACAAUCUCAUCUUUCUUUCAACACAUAAACACCAAAGUGUGCUUGAUAAUUCAACAAUAUGAUGUCAUGACCAUCUGUUUUAUUUGAUUCUCCUGAUUUCUCCUGAUGACAUGUCAGAGGAUGCUGAACCUGAUGGUUGUGAACACUUUGACAGCUGAGAAAGCAGUCGCAGAUUUUUUGAUGUAUGUUGCACCCUGUACAGAUUCUUCCAGAAGCCUACGGUUUCAGCGCAGUACAAAGACACCAUUGUGUAAAACAGUCAGAAAACAUCAACACAUGGACCGAGUCACCGAACACCUUAAAGCAGAGUGAUGAGACGCCGAUCGUCUUCGUCGUCCUCAGAGGAGGAGGAAGAGGAGGAUGAUGAUGAGGAGUCACAACCUGAACAUUAUAUUCCUCAGAUUUAUUCCACAGAAACUUGUUAAUAAUUAUAGUUUAUAACGUAAAGGCUAAAGUGACUUUUUAUACAUUUAUAGCUGGUACAUUUUUAUUAAAUGUUGUGGAAUUUCUGUGAAAUCUUUAUCAUCACUUGUAUGUUAUGUUUAUUUUGUAAAUAAAUUAAAAUAUUGUAUUUUA